UAGGGAAUCUUCCGCAAUGGACGAAAGUCUGACGGAGCGACGCCGCGUGAGUGAUGAAGGUCUUCGGAUCGUAAAACUCUGUUGUUAGGGAAGAACAAGUAUCGACCGAAUAAGUCGGUACCUUGACGGUACCUAACCAGAAAGCCCCGGCUAACUACGUGCCAGCAGCCGCGGUCAAUAACGUAGGGGGCAAGCGGUUGUCCGGAUUUAUUGGGCGUAAAGUAGCUCGGUAAGGCUGCUUCGUAAGUCGGACGUGAAAUCCCGACGGCA
rnacentral:rRNA from 1 species